rnacentral:miRNA from 1 species
UGUCUGUGUAUGUGUAUGUGCAUAUGUGCAUGUGUGGGUUUACACACACACACACACACACACACACACACACACACAGGCA